UACGUAGGGGGCAAGCGUUGUCCGGAAUUAUUGGGCGUAAAGAGCUCGUAGGCGGCUUGUUGCGUCGACUGUGAAAACCCGUGGCUCAACCAUGUGGUCUGCAGUCGAUACGGGCAGGCUAGAAUUCGGUAGGGGAGACUGGAAUUCCUGGUGUAGCGGUGAAAUGCGCAGAUAUCAGGAGGAACACCGAUGGCGAAGGCAGGUCUCUGGGCCGAUAUUGACGCUGAGGAGCGAAAGCGUGGGGAGCGAACAGG
rnacentral:rRNA from 1 species